AGGAGAGACGAGGGCCAUCAUCAAUCCAGCCCAACCGAUUGUGAGCAACGUGCUCUAAUUAAAAAGUUAAAACAAUACGAGCCAGGCACUCACUCUCCCGAGCAAUUUUUCAUCCGCGACUCUGGAACCGGCAGGAAUUCAUAAUUAUACUCCGCGGCUUGCUAUUGUUGAGUCUGAGAAAAGGAGUCAUUGAAACUGCUCGCUCGCUCUCUCUCAGCAGCAGCAGCAGCAGCAGCAGCAGGAAUUUCGUUACACGGCGCCGCCGACUCUUGAGUCAACAAUGAGCCUAUUUGCAUGUUUGCCCGACCGCGUCGUACGAAUUGCAGCUUUACUAUUUGCAAUUUUGGUCACGCGACUCAACCGCAAAUUGAGCGCGCGGCCAUCAACGCGAGCUCAAUUUAUGUCAACCCCUCAAAAAGUGGCGCUGCGGAAUAUUUUCGAUGGCUCAUUCAUGAUGUAUCAGGCAGAAAGUGCGGUGAACACGCGCACCAGAGAUUUCAUCGUGUGUGCCGGCCGCGACCGCGCUGCCGCCGCCGCGGCUGAUGAUGAUGUUGAUCCAUUAACAUGCCGCUGGUGCUGCCGAGCAAUUUGCAUAUUAUUCUAGCCCGGUCACAGCCCCGCGCGUGAAUUAGCGCGGAUUUGUCCCGGAACCUGUCGCAGCGCAAUUUGCAUCCAACACGCGCACCCUGUCAAAUGUUUGCGUUUGAAAUUAUGCUCUGCCACUUUUCUGCAAAUAAAUAAAAUUAAAAAUCACAAUUCGGUGUCCAAGAAAUAAAAAUGAUAUUCGA